rnacentral:rRNA from 1 species
AAUAAGCUAUUUAAGAGCGUAAGGUGGAUGCCUUGGCUCUCAGAGGCGAUGAAGGACGUGAUAAGCUGCGAUAAGCUGCGGGGAUUGGCACACACAAUUUGAUCCGUAGAUUCCCGAAUGGGGCAACCCACUAUAUUGAAGAUAUAGUAUCCGUUAAGGAAGCAAACCCAGGGAACUGAAACAUCUAAGUACCUGGAGGAAUAGAAAACAAAAGUGAUUCCGCUAGUAGUGGCGAGCGAACGCGGAACAGCCCAAACCAAAAUUGUUUCGGCAAUUUUGGGGUUGUAGGACCACGAC